CAUUUACCAAUCAGCUUCUAGAAUGAAAAUUGAGAGAGCGUGUCCAACAACACUCAGUGGAUGCGAUAUUCAUCGUUCAUUUUCGUUGCUGACCUCUCAAUUUCGUUGCAUUUACACGCUGGUCUCCAAACUAGUUUCAUAUUCAAGAUAACACAAUGAUUCGCAUGCCAGUAGGUCCAAAGGUUGACCCAAAAGAAGAACAGCAGAAAAUGCGCAAGGCAUUCUGGGUGAAUGUGGGAACUUUUGCAGCAAUUGUUGUAACUCUCAGAGUAGCGCCAUAUGUAAUCAAACAGUUCUCAUGAUGGUGAAGAAAAUGUAUUGUUGAGUUGCCAUAUUUUAAAUGGAUUGUGUAGCAGGUAUUACCAUCUCUGAUCCAUGACAAUGAAGACAUAAUUUACUAUAGUGAUGAUUACAUAACCAUCCCAGAUAAAGACAAUAAUUGAGUACUGUAUUGGUAAACCAGACAAAAAAAAAGCUGAUUUAGUCAUAGGAAUCAGCACAUAAAGGGGAGUUCUAAAGUUCUACUGAUAAUAUAAUUUAUUCCUAACAUUAUAGAGUAAUUAUUUUUAAAAUUCAAUGAAAGUUGCAAAUAUGGAAUAAUGUAGAAAUAAGAUACAUUAGUGGUGACCUUCUUUAAUUCAAAAUGGUGGCCAUAGUAGGCAUCAGAGACAUGGCACACAACUUUUUUUUUUAUAAAUCUACAUAUAAUAUGAAAGAUAUUUUGUGCCAAGUUUCAUGCUUCGGUAAUAAAAUGCACAACUGGGUCACUUAGGUGCUCUACUAAUCUAAUUCAUAAGUGAAUCCAAGGGGGACCUUCUGGCCUUUCCCCCACCCCCUAACUUUGUGAAAUUUUUAAAAAAAUAGAGAAUUCAAGUCUAUUAUUUUGUGUACUGUAUUAAAUUUAUUUAAAAAUACCCUAAUAUACUCUCAGCUGUUUUGUGAAUGUUCUUGAAAUAUUUGGAGGAUAUUUGUUCUAUAAUAAUUAUAGGUGUACAAGUACUUCCAAAUUAAGAUGCUGACAAGAUUUUCUUUGUACUGUAUUAUAAAGACCAAUAAAGUUACUUGAAACAUGUAUUUGAAAUCAUAAAGUACA